UGAGGAAUAUUGGUCAAUGGACGCAAGUCUGAACCAGCCAAGUAGCGUGCAGGAUGACGGCCCUAUGGGUUGUAAACUGCUUUUAUAUGGGGAUAAAGUGGGGAACGUGUUCCCUUUUGCAGGUACCAUAUGAAUAAGGACCGGCUAAUUCCGUGCCAGCAGCCGCGGUAACACGGAAGGUUCGGGCGUUAUCCGGAUUUAUUGGGUUUAAAGGGAGCGUAGGCCGUUUGGUAAGCGUGUUGUGAAAUGUAGUGGCUCAACUUCUAGAUUGCAGCGCGAACUGUCAGACUUGAGUGCGCACAACGUAGGCGGAAUUCCUGGUGUAGCGGUGCAAUGCUUAGAUAUCAUGAAGGACUCCGAUUGCGAAGGCAGCUUACGGGAGCGCAACUGACGCUGAAGCUCGAAGGUGCGGGUAUCUAACAGG
rnacentral:rRNA from 1 species